rnacentral:lncRNA from 1 species
AAAUAGGGUGAACUUUUGAAAAGAGAGUAUUUAUAGAAGUAGCUAUUUAGUUUGCUAGUAAUUUUCAGUAUUCAUUUUGCUAUUGCUGAAUAUACAGAACAGGAUUAUUCACCCACAUUACCCAGCUGCUUCUGUUUGAUAACGCAACAAAGGUUGUGAUGCAAGUUUCUUUCCAUGGAAAUGACUGUGAUGUCAUGAUUCAUGUCUAGGGGUUUAAAGUGGGAUCUGUAAGGAGGAGCUGUUUUUGAGGCAGAAAAUCCCAAAAUGUAAAUGUCUUCCAUUAUUGGCUAAAUGGUUGAUUAAAAUGCAAUCCAAUUAUGGAAUAUGGCAAGAAACUCAUUUUCCAUGACACACUUGAAAAAUACUUCCUGAUAUUGGAGUUCACUAAGAACACAAGAGUAACUUAUUAGGAAAAUCUACUUCUGCAACUAUGCUCUUCCCAUAGAUGAGACUUGGCAACAUCAGAGGUUUACAGGAGGAGAUGCUAUGUUAGAGUGCUUGGUAAAGAAUAUUUGUGGGGUGGGAGGGUGGAUUUUUCAUCUACCUUGUUGGCAGUUGCCAGCUGAACUGGAUAAGUAACUGCAUUUGGAAGUUUUCUGACCUCCUAAACUGGGAUUUGAGAGAAAAAAUGUAAAACUGUCGUGCACUUAGGUAGGAUCUUUCUCCUGCUGUGUGUCCCUGGAGCAGCAAUGAAACUGUGCAAGUGAAUACUCAGAAAUUUAGGUUACAAGGCAGGUGAACAACCACCCUCGCUAGUGGGUGUUUUGGGUGGAAGUCCGGUUCCAACUGAGCUAUCUAACCUAAAAUGCUUUUGGUCCUUCUCUUCAGAUAACGUACCACGUCUCCCUCAGUCAUUUGGCAAAUCUCUUGAGCUGGAUGUGAGCAUCACAGAGCUGGCUCUCAGCUCUGUAUUGGAUGAGUCCACUGCAUCCACGAUGUCUCAUCCGUGGAUCCGGGGAAAGAUGCUCGUCUGAGGUUUCUCCGAAGCUUCCUCAGAGGCCCUUCAGUUCACGAGAACACUGUUACCAAGAGAUUAAAUUAAUUAAAAAUUGAUGGCUGUUCUGUACUGGAUGUCUUGCAGUCAAGGAUAUUUAAACAGAUAGCAGGGAGAGUGGAGGGAAGAUUGCUUGCCAGGGUAUUUUUUCC